rnacentral:lncRNA from 1 species
GAAGCUUUUUAGGACUGCUCAUUAGUGCUAGAAAGUGGUAAUAUUAGAAUAUACCCCAUUUAGAGCAGCAGAUAUGAAGUAAGUUAUUUUGACUAAGUGGUAGCUGAGCAAGCUAUUUGAGCAUAUAUAACAUCGAAGAACUCAGGAGAACUUCUUUCAAAUUAACUAAAGUGAAAGAAAUGUUGGAAUUUUUAAGCCAAUGCAAGUUGAAUGGGGUUUUGCCUAAAUCCAUUUACGACAUAAAAUUAUUGGUUAAGUCACAGAGAAUCCUUACAAGUACAAAAAGAAUUUGCCUAAAAGCGGCAUUAACUGAAGCAAAGAGAAGGAUGUGCAAAUUGGCUCAAAAUAAGGGAGAAAUCUUAGUGAAAAUAGAAAGCAUAGACGACUCCCCUGAUUGCAAAGAAAUGGUUGAGGCAAUAGAGGCAGAAACAGGUAGACUGCAAGCGAAGCUGAGACCUAGGUACAUAAAAAAGAUCAGAUGGUUGAUAUGAAACCAAUUGAAGAAUAAGGAGAAGAGAAAAAAGAUCAACCUUAAACUGGAAGACGUGGUGACAAUAAUAGGAGACAUAACCCUAUUACAAUUUAUUGUAGAUAUACUUCUAAGAGGACCUUCAUGUGCUAUAGAAACUAUGCAUAACUUCGAAGACAUGAUCCCACCUUUCGAAAGUGUGAUAACGGACUUAGAUGAGCUCGAAAGAGAGUGGGAGAGCUGGAAAUUUGUAGAAGAAUUAAAGACACAUAAGAGAAAGAACAGGGAAAUCAUAGCAGAAGCGAGGAGCACAAGAACCUCCUUGUAUAAAAUGCAUCAAUGGAUGAAGGAUAAUGAUAUAGCAGUGACAAGGGAUGAUAAGUCUAGAAAAAUUGUGAUCCUCAAAAACAAGUGUCUAUGAUAAAGAGCUAACAAAGCAUAUAGAAGAUUCAGGAGUGAUACUAUUGAGAAAGGACCCAACAGGAGCCCUAGACAAAAAAACCCGAAGCAUAUUAAAGAAUACUGGCCUACCAGACUUCUUGAUAGGCAAAGUGACGCAAAACCCGGCCUGCCCUAGGCUCUUUGCAUAUGCAAAAACGCAUAAGGAUCCGCUAGCCUUCAGACCAAUUGUCGAAAAAUGUAGAUCACCCACAUAUGACCUAGAAAAGAGGAUGGCUAGAUGGAUAAAUGCCAAUUUGCAAGGGGACACACAUGCAGUCAAGUCAUCGAAAGACUUCUUGGAUAAAUUGAAAUUAGUAAAUCUGAACGGUAACGAAGUAAUGGUAACAUAUGAUUUUGAAAAUCUUUACCCAUCGUUGAGGAUUGAAGCGGUAUGCAUGUGCCUGUACAGACUUCUACUAGAACAAGCACCAGGGACGAGUCAGAGUGUAAACUUGUACAGAGAUUUGGCG